GACGAACGUUGGCGGCGUGCCUAACACAUGCAAGUCGAACGGAGAUACGAUUUCGGUUGUAUCUUAGUGGCGAACGGGUGAGUAACGCGUGAGCAACCUGACUCUUAGAGGGGGAUAACACUCGGAAACGGGUGCUAAUACCGCAUAAGACCACGACAUGGCAUCAUGACGAGGUCAAAGGAGCAAUCCGCUGAGAGAGGGGCUCGCGUCCCAUCAGCUAGAUGGUAGGGUAACGGCCUACCAUGGCGACGACGGGUAGCCGGCCUGAGAGGGUGAUCGGCCACACUGGAACUGAGACACGGUCCAGACUCCUACGGGAGGCAGCAGUUAAGAAUCUUGCGCAAUGGAGGAAACUCUGACGCAGCGACGCCGCGUGCGGGAAGAAGGCUUUCGGGUUGUAAACCGCAGUAGACAGGGAAGAAACAAAUGACGGUACCUGUCCAAAGCACCGGCUAACUACGUGCCAGCAGCCGCCGUAA
rnacentral:rRNA from 1 species